ACUCCUACGAGGCAGCAGUGGGGAAUUUUGGACAAUGGGCGAAAGCCUGAUCCAGCAAUGCCGCGUGUGUGAAGAAGGCCUUCGGGUUGUAAAGCACUUUUGUCCGGAAAGAAAUCCUUGGCUCUAAUACAGUCGGGGGAUGACGGUACCGGAAGAAUAAGCACCGGCUAACUACGUGCCAGCAGCCGCGGUAAUACGUAGGGUGCGAGCGUUAAUCGGAAUUACUGGGCGUAAAGCGUGCGCAGGCGGUUUGCUAAGACCGAUGUGAAAUCCCCGGGCUCAACCUGGGAACUGCAUUUGUGACUGGCAGGCUAGAGUAUGGCAGAGGGGGGUAGAAUUCCACGUGUAGCAGUGAAAUGCGUAGAGAUGUGGAGGAAUACCGAUGGCGAAGGCAGCCCCCUGGGCCAAUACUGACGCUCAUGCACGAAAGCGUGGGGAGCAAACAGGAUUAGAAACCCCGGUAGUCCCA
rnacentral:rRNA from 1 species